AUUAAACGCUGGCGGCAUGCCUUACACAUGCAAGUCGAACGGUAGCGCGGGGCAACCUGGCGACGAGUGGCGAACGGGUGAGUAAAGCAUCGGAACGUGCCCUGGAAUGGGGGAUAACGUAGCGAAAGUUACGCUAAUACCGCAUAUUCUGUGAGCAGGAAAGCAGGGGAUCGCAAGACCUUGCGUUCUGGGAGCGGCCGAUGUCGGAUUAGCUAGUUGGUGGGGUAAAAGCCUACCAAGGCGACGAUCCGUAGCGGGUCUGAGAGGAUGAUCCGCCACACUGGGACUGAGACACGGCCCAGACUCCUACGGGAGGCUGCAGUGGGGAAUUUUGGACAAUGGGCGGAAGCCUGAUCCAGCCAUGCCGCGUGAGUGAAGAAGGCCUCGGUUGGUAAA
rnacentral:rRNA from 1 species